rnacentral:rRNA from 1 species
GGUAACCGUAGAGUUUGAUCAUGGCUCAGGAUGAACGCUGGCGGCGUGCUUAACACAUGCAAGUCGAACGAACCUUCGGGUUAGUGGCGGACGGGUGAGUAACGCGUGAGAAUCUGCCCUCAGGAGGGGGAUAACGGCUGGAAACGGCCGCUAAUACCCCAUAUGCCGAGAGGUGAAACGAAUUUCGCCUGAGGAUGAGCUCGCGUCUGAUUAGCUAGUUGGUGGGGUAAAGGCCUACCAAGGCAUCGAUCAGUAGCUGGUCUGAGAGGAUGAUCAGCCACACUGGGACUGAGACACGGCCCAGACUCCUACGGGAGGCAGCAGUGGGGAAUUUUCCGCAAUGGGCGCAAGCCUGACGGAGCAACGCCGCGUGAGGGAUGAAGGCCUCUGGGCUGUAAACCUCUUUUAUCAAGGAAGAAGAUCUGACGGUACUUGAUGAAUAAGCCACGGCUAAUUCCGUGCCAGCAGCCGCGGUAAUACGGGAGUGGCAAGCGUUAUCCGGAAUUAUUGGGCGUAAAGCGUCCGCAGGCGGUCUUGUAAGUCUGUCGUUAAAGCGUGGAGCUUAACUCCAUUUAAGCGAUGGAAACUGUAAGACUAGAGUGUGGUAGGGGCAGAGGGAAUUCCCGGUGUAGCGGUGAAAUGCGUAGAUAUCGGGAAGAACACCAGUGGCGAAGGCGCUCUGCUGGGCCAUAACUGACGCUCAUGGACGAAAGCCAGGGGAGCGAAAGGGAUUAGAUACCCCUGUAGUCCUGGCCGUAAACGAUGAACACUAGGUGUCGGGGGAAUCGACCCCCUCGGUGUCGUAGCCAACGCGUUAAGUGUUCCGCCUGGGGAGUACGCACGCAAGUGUGAAACUCAAAGGAAUUGACGGGGGCCCGCACAAGCGGUGGAGUAUGUGGUUUAAUUCGAUGCAACGCGAAGAACCUUACCAGGGUUUGACAUCCUGCGAAUCUCUUGGAAACGAGAGAGUGCCUUCGGGAACGCAGUGACAGGUGGUGCAUGGCUGUCGUCAGCUCGUGUCGUGAGAUGUUGGGUUAAGUCCCGCAACGAGCGCAACCCACGUCGUUAGUUGCCAGCAUUUAGUUGGGCACUCUAGCGAGACCGCCGGUGAUAAACCGGAGGAAGGUGUGGAUGACGUCAAGUCAUCAUGCCCCUUACAUCCUGGGCUACACACGUACUACAAUGCUACGGACAAAGGGCAGCAAACUCGCGAGAGCUAGCAAAUCCCAUAAACCGUGGCUCAGUUCAGAUCGUAGGCUGCAACUCGCCUACGUGAAGGAGGAAUCGCUAGUAAUCGCAGGUCAGCAUACUGCGGUGAAUACGUUCCCGGGCCUUGUACACACCGCCCGUCACACCAUGGAAGUUGGCCACGCCCGAAGCCGUUACUCCAACCCUUGUGGAGGAGGAUGUCGAAGGUGGGGCUGAUGACUGGGGUGAAGUCGUAACAAGGUAACCGUAG